rnacentral:lncRNA from 10 species
UUGUGAUGCGUCACAUAGUUCCUGGCAUGCCAUUGUCCUGAAUUCACCUACUAAUUUUACCCUCAGAGAAAGAGAGAGUCUUUGGAGAGUUGUGAGGAGAUAAGUGACAUAAACUGGCAUGUUCUGAAAGAAUCACUCUGGAUGCUGUGUGGAGAAAACACUGAAAAGAAUUCUAGAGUGAAAGUUUCAUGAAUAUAAGAAGCAAGACAAGGAAGUGGCUUAUGCUUAAGGCCUUAAAGGCAACCACUGUGACAAUCCAGCCAUUCUCUGGAGAAUUCAGCAGAAAGCCAGUUGGAAGGUUUGAAAUGGAAAUUACAAGCGCAAUAUUACAGAAGUGUGGAUUUUAGUUACAAUGUCUCUAUGAGAAAGUCUAAAAGUUAAACAUAAGCAAAACAACAAAAACAUCUAAAUACCAGACACUAUCCUCAGAAAUUAGAUUUGAAAAAUGAGCUUCAUUUUCGAAGAACAUAUUGAAUUUGUUAUCUCGAUUAUGGAGGGCGACAAGUCCCACAGUCUGCCAUCUGCAGGAUGGAGAACCAGUCUUUAUAGGGGGAGAAUAAUUGACUCCAUUCAAGUGUUCGCUCCUGUUUCAAUCAACUAUGGCUGAAGAGUGAGGAGACAUUUGGAAUAAAUAUGGCUUCUGGGGGCCCAUUCCUAUGGAUCAGCAGCUGGCUUCUGGAGGCCCAUUCCUGUGAAUCGUCGAUCUCAUAGAAGAUAAUAUUGUUAGAAGGCUUACCUCAUUGAUGCUGAACAUCCUAAAAAGCUUCUGCUGCUUUGAGUCACUGAAAAAGACCAAGAAACAUGAAUUUAAAAAAAAAUUUCAAAUGUUAUAAAAUAAAUAAUAUGAACUCAUUAUACCUACAAUGAAUAAUUUAAAUUCUUCUUUGGUAGUCCAGGUUUAGAAACUAUGAAAACCCUAGAAGAAAACCUAGGCAAUGCCAUUCAGGACAUAGGCACGGACAAAGAUUUCAUGACGAAGACGCCAAAAACAACUGCAACAAAAGCAAAAAUUGACAGAUGGGAUCUCAUUAAACUAAAGAGCUUCCAUACAGCAAAAGAAGCUACCAUGAGAGUGAACAGACAACCUAUAGAAAGGGAGAAAAAUUUUGCAAUCUGUUCAUCUGACAAAGGUCUAAUAUCCAGCAUCUACAAGGAACUUAAAUAAAUUUACAAGAAAAAAACAAACCCAUUAGAAAAUGGGCAAAGGACAUGAAAAGAUACUUCUCAAAAGACAUACAUGUGGCCAACAAUCAUACAAAAAAAACCUCAACAUCACUGAUGAUUAGAAAAAUGCUAAUCAAAACCACAACGAGAUACCAUCUCAUACCUGUCAGAAUGGCUAUUAAUAAAAAGUUAAAAAACAACAGAUGCUGGUGAGGUUGUUGAGAAAAAGGAAUACUGUUAUACUGUUGGUGGGAAUGUAAAUUAGUUCAACCAUUGUGGGAGACAGUGUGGCAUUUCCUCAAAGACCUAGAGGCAGAAAUACCAUUUGACUCAGCAAUCACGUUACUGGAUAUAUACCCAAAGGAAUAUAAAUCAUUCUAUUAUAAAGAUACAUGCAUGCGCAUGUUCACUGCAGCAUUAUUCACAAUAGCAAAGACAUGGAAUCAACCCAAAUGCCCAUCAAUAACACACUAGAUAAAGAAAAUGUGGUAUAUAUACACCAUGGAAUACUAUUCAGCCAUAAAAAGGAAUGAAAUCAAGUCCUUUGCAGGAACAUGAAUGAAGCUGAAGGCCAUCAUCUUCAGCAAACUAACACAGGAACAGAAAAUAAAAUACCACAUAUUCUCACUUACAACUGGGAGCUGAAUGAUGAGAACAUAUGGACACAUAUAGGGGCACAACACACACUGGGGCCUGUUGGAGGGUGCUGGGGGGAGGAGGCAGAGCAUCAGGAAGAAUAGCUAAUGGAUUCUGGGCUUAAUACCUAAGUGAUGAGAUGAUCUGUGCAGCAAACUACCAUAGUACAUGUUUACCUAUGUAACAAACCUGUACGUCCUGCACAUGUACCCCUGAACAUUAAAA